CAGCACCUCAAGUGGUCAGGAUGAUUAUUGGGCCUAAAGCAUCCGUAGCCGGCUCUGUAAGUUUUCGGUUAAAUCUGUAUGCUCAACAUACAGGCUGCCGGGAAUACUGCAGAGCUAGGGAGUGGGAGAGGUAGACGGUACUCGGUAGGAAGGGGUAAAAUCCUCUGAUCUAUUGAUGACCACCUGUGGCGAAGGCGGUCUACCAGAACACGUCCGACGGUGAGGGAUGAAAGCUGGGGGAGCAAACCGGAUUAGAUACCCGAGUAGUCC
rnacentral:rRNA from 1 species